rnacentral:rRNA from 1 species
AUACGUAGGGUGCAAGCGUUAAUCGGAAUUACUGGGCGUAAAGCGUGCGCAGGCGGUUUUGUAAGACAGAGGUGCACUCCCCGGGCCCAACCUGGGAACUGCCUUUGUGACUGCAAGGCAAGAGUAAGCUAGAGGGGGGUGGAAUUUCGCGUGUAGCAGUGAAAUGCGUAGAUAUGCGGAGGAACACCGAUGGCGAAGGCAAUCCCCUGGGCCUGUACUGACGCUCAUGCACGAAAGCGUGGGGAGCAAACAGGAUUAGAUACCCUGGUAGUCCACGCCCUAAACGAUGUCAACUGGUUGUUGGGUCUUCAUUGACUCAGUAACGAAGCUAACGCGUGAAGUUGACCGCCUGGGGAGUACGGCCGCAAGGUUGAAACUCAAAUGAAUUGACGGGG